rnacentral:rRNA from 2 species
ACAACUUUCAACAACGGAUCUCUUGGCUCUCGCAUCGAUGAAGAACGCAGCGAAAUGCGAUACGUAAUGUGAAUUGCAGAAUUCAGUGAAUCAUCGAAUCUUUGAACGCAUAUUGCGCUCUUUGGUAUUCCGAAGAGCAUGCUUGUUUGAGUAUCAGUAAACACCUCAAAGCUUUUGGAUUUUUUAAUCGAAAAGCUUUGGACUUGAGCAAUCCC